CUCCAAAUAACUACUUACUAGAGAAAUGAAAACCAAAACAAUUCUGUGAUAUCACUUCAUACUGUUCAUAUUGACAAAUGUUCUAAAAUGACAAAAGGACCAAAUAACAAAUAUUGGAGGAGAUAGGCAAAAAAUGGGGACAUUAAUACCUGUUAGAUAAGAGAGGAGACAUUCCACAUUGAGGAGAGAACAGUCUCUGACAGAGACUAGCUGAAGAGAAAGUGGGGGAGGAGCAAGAAGAAAAAACAGAGAAUUCUAGGAGAGAAUCAGAAUCUUGAGUAUCCAAUGAGAACUUCACUUCCACCUGGGAACCCGAGGAGGGAGAUAGAUUCCCUAGGCUGAGAAAAAGCCUAUUUCUUGGGAGAUCUAUUGUCCCUUCUGAACCCCUGAAUACCUCCAAUCAAACUCUCUGUGACAGCAAUCUAAAGUCCUCAGCAGGAUUGUGGAUUGGGACUUUGAAGGUGCCUUGGUCAGUCUGGAGUAUAUAUAAAAAUAUCUUGAGGGAUUCUGAAACUUGCAAUGGAUAAACCUUCAUGGGUCUUCCAGGAAAAUGUUUUCAUUGGGGUCCCCUGAACACUCCAUAGAAGGAUCCCAGACCAGAAAGAGUACAUGACUUCUCUGAGUGUUGGACCUCAGGAAUGCACCCAAGAAGACCUUCCCUGAUAACGACUGAUAAACAGAUAAAGAUGCUGGCUUCCAAGUCAAUGUUCCUCGGAGAUGACCCAGUGAUAUCAGAGAGCAAGCCCACAGCCAUCAGACACGACACGUGGCUCAGUGACUCCUAUGUCCCACCUCUCCCAUGUGAUGGAUCAAGGUCUCCUAAAUAUUUCACUUCACACAAUCUCCCCCUCUCAUUCUUUGGGACACCAGCAUGUUAAGUCUCGCCACUCUUGGUUCUCCGGGAGAUAAAUAUGUUUGGUCUCCCAGAAUGAAUCAUUCUACAUAUGUGUCAAAAAAAGCAUAAAAGAUAUUAUAUAUUUCAUGGAGGGAGUUACUACAAUUUGGGCAAUAAAAAGAAAGAAGGAGUGAAAGAAAAGUGAUUG
rnacentral:lncRNA from 1 species